GGAACUUGUGUUUCUAUAAAUUCUGCAUUUUGGCACACUUCUCUGUGGGUUGUUUUAGUAUCAACUGUAAAUGUAAUAACCAUUUUCUUUUUUAUUUUUUCAUUUAAAUCUAGGCCAUUAAUAAAUACUAAUAUUUAGAUAUAGACAUCUAGAAUACUUUUUAGACUAAUACUCCCCAAUUGUUGAUCAGUUAUUAGUCAAUAUUACCACCUAAGUAAUUUUCCAUGAUUCUUUUGUCAUUUGCAGCAUAUUCAUUUUAUUUAACAACAUUUUUUGAAUGCUGGCUCCCCAAAUGUCACCAACCAACCAAUUGAUAAGACAAAGGGACGGAGCUGGGUUUGAAAUUCCUGAACACUCUGAAUUCCUAGGCACUCUCAUUCCUAGGAUCACUUGUGGCCCAGUGUUCUGCUCAGUGCUCCUUCUACUUGUAUUCACCUGUAUUUUCAUCCUCCCCAGUUCAGCCCCAUUUGCUUCAGUUUACUCAUCUCUAAACCACUCUCCCAAAGCACACGUAUGUAUAGCACUCUUUACUCAAGGUUGCUUGGUGGGUGGUGAGUUUAGGAGAGGGAAAGACAUAGGAGUAGAGACACAUUAUGGCAGAACAAACAACAUCACGCAGCUCUGUUUCGUUUUUGUUUUUGUUUUGUUUUUUCCUAAGAUUUUAUUUAUUUGACAGAGAGCACAAGCAGGGGGAGUGGCAGGCAGAGGGAGAGGGAGAAGCAGGCUCCCCACUGAAGAAGAACCUGAGAUCACGACCUGAGCCAAAGGUAGACACUUACCAAUGGAGCCACCCCAAGGGCCCCAGGCAGCUGUGUUCUUAAAAUUCCUUGGCCACUCUAUACCUGGAAAUUCCACAGUGACCACUUUGUCUAAAGGCC
rnacentral:lncRNA from 1 species